AAUAUUGCACAAUGGAGGGAACUCUGAUGCAGCGACGCCGCGUGAGUGAUGAAGGCUUUCGAGUCGUAAAACUCUGUCCUUGGGGACGAUAAUGACGGUACCCAAGGAGGAAGCCCCGGCUAACUACGUGCCAGCAGCCGCGGUAAUACGUAGGGGGCAAGCGUUGUCCGGAAUUACUGGGCGUAAAGGGCGCGUAGGCGGUCUUGUAAGUCAGAUGUGAAAGUCCAGGGCUCAACCGUGGAAUUGCAUUUGAAACUAUAAGACUUGAGUGCAGGAGAGGAGAGCGGAAUUCCUAGUGUAGCGGUGAAAUGCGUAGAGAUUAGGAAGAACACCAGUGGCGAAGGCGGCUCUCUGGACUGUAACUGACGCUGAGGCGCGAAAGCGUGGGGAGCGAACA
rnacentral:rRNA from 1 species